CUUUGGCGGUAGUUUUUCGUACAGUAAUACAAUAACAUUUUAUGAUAGUGAUUCAUUCUCUUACUUCUCGCAGCCACCUCACAGCUACAGGUAUCUACAAGAUUCUGGAGAUCAUAACUAUUACUGAUAAACUUCUGCACUGGCUUCCCUUCCAGAAGAUCUCCACCAGUGAACAGAAUCAUGGUGAACUUCAGAGCUUCUUCUCCAAAGUUCUCCUGAAUCCACUUCACAGCACUGCUCUCCUCCACUGUGAACCUUCCCAGUCUGAUCACCAGCAGGAACACAUGAGAAUCAGGAGAAGACAUGGAGAUACAUUCAUGUGCAUGG